rnacentral:rRNA from 1 species
UACAGAGAGUGCAAACGUUGUUCGGAAUUACUGGGCUUGAAGCGCACGUAGGCGGCGUUGUAAGUGUCGGGUGAAAUCCCACGGCUCACCCGUGGAACUGCCCGGCAUACUGCGAUGCUAGAGUGUGGUACGGGAGAGCGGAACUCCUGGUGGAGCGGUGAAAUGCGUAGAUAUCAGGAGGAACACCGGUGGCGAAGGCGGCUCUCUGGUCCACAACUGACGCUGAGGUGCGAAAGCUAGGGGAGCAAACGGG